GACCCCAGGUCAGGCGGGACUACCC
rnacentral:rRNA from 3 species